GCUUGUCUCAAAGAUUAAGCCAUGCAUGUCUAAGUAUAGUACCUUAUACUGCGAAACUGCGAAUGGCUCAUUAAAUCAGUUAUAAUUCAUUUGAUGGUACUUACUACUCGGAUAACCGUAGUAAUUCUAGAGCUAAUACGUGCGUAAAUCCCGACUUCUGGAAGGGACGUAUUUAUUAGAUAAAAGGCCAGCCGGGCUCUGCCCGACCUGCGGUGAAUCAUGAUAACUUCACGAAUCGUAUGGCCCUGUGCCGACGAUGUUUCAUUCAAAUUUCUGCCCUAUCAAUUGGCGAUGGUAGGAUAGAGGCCUACCAUGGUGUUAACGGGUGACGGGGGAUUAGGGUUCGAUUCCGGAGAGGCAGCCUGAGAAACGGCUACCACAUCCAAGGAAGGCAGCAGG
rnacentral:rRNA from 1 species